rnacentral:rRNA from 1 species
AGUGAACGCUGGCGGUAGGCCUAACACAUGCAAGUCGAACGGCAGCACAGUAAGAGCUUGCUCUUACGGGUGGCGGGUGGCGGACGGGUGAGGAAUACAUCGGAAUCUACUUUUUCGUGGGGGAUAACGUAGGGAAACUUACGCUAAUACCGCAUACGACCUACGGGUGAAAGCAGGGGGUCUUCGGACCUUGCGCGAUUGAAUGAGCCGAUGUCGGAUUAGCUAGUUGGCGGGGUAAAGGCCCACCAAGGCGACGAUCCGUAGCUGGUCUGAGAGGAUGAUCAGCCACACUGGAACUGAGACACGGUCCAGACUCCUACGGGAGGCAGCAGUGGGGAAUAUUGGACAAUGGGCGCAAGCCUGAUCCAGCCAUACCGCGUGGGUGAAGAAGGCCUUCGGGUUGUAAAGCCCUUUUGUUGGGAAAGAAAAGCAGCAGGUUAAUACCCCGCUGUUCUGACGGUACCCAAAGAAUAAGCACCGGCUAACUUCGUG